rnacentral:rRNA from 1 species
ACGGCUCAGUAACACGUAGCUAAUCUGCCCUUCGGUCAAGGAUACCCUCGGGAAACUGAGAUCAAUACUUGAUAGAGGUGGAAUGCUGGAACGCAUUCACCUUGAAAUUCGAGCCGAAGGAUGAGGCUGCGGACGAUUAGCUAGUUGGUGGGGUAACUGCCUACCAAGGCGAUGAUUGUUACGGGCUCUUAGCGGAGUUGCCCGGAGAAGGAAUCUGAGACACUAUUCCUAGCUCUACGGAGUGCAGCAGCAGCGAAUCAUUUGCAAUGCGCGCAAGCGUGACAAUGCGAACCAAAGUGCUUUUCCUUUUAGGAAAAGCUUUUUCUCACUUUAAAAAGGUGGGAGAAUAAGGACUGGGUAAGACCGGUGCCAGCCGCCGCGGUAAUCCCGGCAGUUCUAGUCGCAUCCACUAUUAUUGGGUCUAAAACAUCCGUAGCUUGCUUUUUAAGUUCUUUGUGAAAUCCCACGUCUCAAGCGUGGGGCUUGCGGAGAAUACUGGAAAGCUAGAGAUCGGUAGAUGUAAGAAGUACACUGGAGGUAGUGGUAAAAUACGUUAAUCUUCGGUGGACUAACAAUGAGCGAAGGCAUCUUACAAGGACGAAUCUGACAGUGAGGGACGAAAGCUGGGGGAGCAAACCGGAUUAGAUACCCGGGUAGUCCCAGCCGUAAACGAUGUGCGUUAGGUGUAUCGGUGACCACGAGUCACCGAGGUGCCGAAGAGAAAUCGUGAAACGUACCGCCUGGGA